ACCCUUCGGGGGAGGGAAUGAGAAAACCUCCAGGGAAAGUGCCGCGCGCCUCAGAUGCCGGGAAGGAAGAAGCUGGGGUGCUAACUAUCCUUGUGAAACUGGUGAGCCAAGCUGGGACAGGUUUCUCCUUCAACCACAAGAGAAGCCGACUCCGAGAGAAGCUGACCCUUCUGCACUAUGAUCCAAUAGUGGUAACUCAUAAAUCAAGUUAAAAUGUCUCCAGAAAUUGCCUUGAACCGAAUUUCUCCAAUGCUCUCCCCAUUCAUAUCAAGCGUGGUCCGAAAUGGGAAGGUGGGACUGGAUGCUACAAACUGUUUGAGAAUUACGGACUUGAAG
ensembl:processed_transcript